UACGUAGGGUGCGAGCGUUGUCCGGAAUUAUUGGGCGUAAAGAGCUCGUAGGCGGUGUGUCACGUCGGCCGUGAAAACCUGGGGCUUAACUCUGGGCGUGCGGUCGAUACGGGCAUCACUAGAGUUCGGCAGGGGAGACUGGAAUUCCUGGUGUAGCGGUGAGAUGCGCAGAUAUCAGGAGGAACACCGGUGGCGAAGGCGGGUCUCUGGGCCGAUACUGACGCUGAGGAGCGAAAGCGUGGGGAGCGAACAGG
rnacentral:rRNA from 1 species